CAAUAAAGUCAUUUCUUUUAAACGGGGGCAGUGGUGGCAUUGUGUAGGCACUCAGCAAAGCUGCAAACUACAUCUCCCAGGCACCCCGACCGGUCCUGCGCGCUGCGUAGGCUCAGCUCCCGGAUGGGCCGCCAGCGCGAGGCCCCUUCGGCUUCAGGUGAACAGAGGGGGCCGCUGCUCCCCAUCCGGAGCCAGCCAGUCACAAGCCGAGAAGGGUGUUGGGGACGCAGAGAUUCCGCGGCCAAGGCUGAGCGAGCAUGCGCUUGAAGACAGUUUGUGCGCGCGCACGCGCGCGCACGCCCGCGGCUCCGUUCUGGGUGUCUGUCCUGCUCCAGAAGCGCGCAGGCGCUCAGCCGCCGGGGUCCCCUGGGGCCGGGUGGCGGGAUACACUCACGUGAGUCCCGGGUAAAGACAGGAACUGACCUGGUGGCCAAGCAGAAGUGAAAGCAGUCUAGAAGCAUGGUGUUGCAGUGACUAGAGCCAGACCUAACCGCACUGCGGCUGGGGACUUUGGCUGCGUCCAGGUGCACCGUUCCUUGGAUCCUUCCCUCCUCGAAUCCUUCCCGGCGUCUCCAGCCUCCCCUUGACUGGUGUCCCAAGACCUUUCCGUUUAUCCUAGGAGAAAGCCCCCUGUUGCUGUGAACUCCCACUCACCUCAAGGUGUGGUAAACACACUGCCCCCAGGCACUGCCAUCUUUCCUGGCACCUCACUGUCCUGGAGAGGGCGUGCACUCAACGCUGAUCCCCACUGCGAGAUGGGUCUCAUUUCCACUGAACAGAGCUGGCUCUGUGGCCAUGUCAACCACUAGGAGGUGGCAGAUGAACCCACAUGGGUCAGCUCAGCCCCAAGACCCCAAGACUUCAGCUUAUGCUGCUGUGGUGGGUAGGAGCUCUGCAGGAACCCUAUGAAGUCAGCAUCUCACCUCAGGAGACUCCCCAGGAGCCUGAGAACAGCAGGCCCUAGGAGGAGCACCAGGAGGGGAAUGCAGAAGACACACAACCCUGCUGUUCAGGUCCACGAGCAGAAAACAAAAUGGAAGUUCACUAUGCAUCACUAGAAUUAUGGAGCUGCUUGUUACAGAGCAUCAAUGCUGACUAAUGCAGGACUGAAAAUAAGAUACAGAAAACAUUUAUAAAAAGGAAGAUGGAGAACUAUUCCUGUUGGGCCAACAUACAACUAACAAACCUUGAAGAGAGAGAAAAUGAACUCACACACACAAYACGCACACAUGUGCUUUUCCCAGAAACUAAAGGAAAAGGCCCCAGUCAGAAAGCCCCCACCCAGGGCAAUGAAAAUAAAUGCCUCCCCAGAGUACAUUCCAGAACUCUGACAGGCAGAGAAGCUUUCAGGGAAGAAACGAAGCACAGGGCUGGGAGCACAGCCUGUGCAGCUCUUGCCUACGUGCUUCAGGCCCUGGGUUUGAUCCCCUCCACCACAAAACAAAAACAAACCAAACAGUGCACAAAGAUCCAAAGUCCAAAAGUUCAGGGCAUCACACAGCAGCCCUGGAAACCAGAGGUGAUGGGGCACUUAAGAGUCCUGCAGGAAGAGCCUCUCCCACCAAACACGCCACCAAUCAAGCACCAUCCAGUGUGGAGCUGAGUAAUGGAGCUCACCUGAGACCUUCAGCACCCUGUGAGCCCCACCGGGGGAAGCUGCUGAGUGGUGUGCUCUGGAGUCAACAGGCAAACAGAGAAAGCAGGGCCAGGACAUGGGCUGCUGAGGAAGACAGAGGGUGACAGCCAGGGCCUGAGGAGGGUCACUGCCCAUCCUCUGUGAGAGGACCUGCAGAGGUGUGUUGUGAAUUUGGGAAAGGACUGAUCAUCAGUUCACAGAAAAUAGAAAAGAGGAGGCAGGAAGGGAAGAAGUGGGGAGGAACAAGAAGGGUGUGGACAAUGCUCACUAUCACUACAGGGCCAGUGGUGCAGCUGACAGGUGUGAUCUGAGGGCAGAGGGCAGAAAAGGGUGGUGCUGGGAGUGUGUUGCUCGGGCCUUAGCUUCCCCUCGGGAGAGCAACAGAACCCAAAGCUGAGAACUGGAAAGGCAGCAGCCCAGGGUGCAGGCUCCUAUAGCCCAGGGGACGGCUGCCCUACAGGCAGAGCCACCUGACAGGACAAUCAGAGAACUCACAUCUGCCGAAUGUAUGGGACAGUCACAAAGUCGGUCAUGAUGUAGGCCACAAGCAAAGCAGGUCCUCCCACACAUUACAGAUGCCACAACAAAUCUGUGACUACGACACAGUAUAAUUAAUUAAAAAUUACUAAUAAGCCAGGCACAAUGGUGCAUGCCUGCAAUCCCAGUGACUUGGGA